rnacentral:rRNA from 1 species
UACCGGCAGCUCAAGUGGUAUCUGUUUUUAUUGGGCCUAAAGCGUUCGUAGCCGGUUUAAUAAGUCUUUGGUGAAAGCUUGUAGCUUAACUAUAAGAAUUGCUGGAGAUACUAUUAGACUUGAAGUCGGGAGAGGUUAGAGGUACUACCGGGGUAGGGGUGAAAUCCUAUAAUCCUGGGAGGACCACCUGUGGCGAAGGCGUCUAACUAGAACGAUCUUGACGGUGAGUAACGAAAGCCAGGGGCGCGAACCGG